rnacentral:rRNA from 1 species
CGACCGGCGCACGGGUGCGCAACGCGUAUAGAAUCUGCCUUGUACUGGGGAAUAGCCCAGAGAAAUUUGGAUUAAUGCCCCAUGGUAUGUAAUUGUGGCAUCACUAUUACAUUAAAGGUUACGGUACAAGAUGACUAUGCGUCCCAUUAGUUAGUUGGUAAGGUAACGGCUUACCAAGGCAGCGAUGGGUAGGGGCCCUGAGAGGGGGAUCCCCCACACUGGUACUGAGACACGGACCAGACUCCUACGGGAGGCAGCAGUGAGGAAUAUUGGACAAUGGGCGGGAGCCUGAUCCAGCCAUGCCGCGUGCAGGAAGACGGUCCUAUGGAUUGUAAACUGCUUUU